AAAAAAGCUUCGACCAGGAGAGUAGCUUUUAGGAAUUCUUUAGCGAGGUCAUACAGAGUGAAAGGUGACUAGAUGAACUAGGAGUGAAGCGCACCUGUGAGUGUUCCUUUGAACUGAGUAGGAGGAAACGUGAACCUGCGUUAAGGGAUUGAGUUGGUUCAUAUAUUUUAUAUGAGCAACUAGAGUGGUACCGCGUAUAGAACGUCUCUAGA
rnacentral:ncRNA from 1 species